rnacentral:piRNA from 1 species
CUCUGGAACCUGUGUGCUCUCUGCCU